CGGCCACAUUGGGACUGAGAUACGGCCCAGACUCCUACGGGAGGCAGCAGUGGGGAAUAUUGCACAAUGGGCGCAAGCCUGAUGCAGCGACGCCGCGUGCGGGAUGACGGCCUUCGGGUUGUAAACCGCUUUUGACUGGGAGCAAGCCCUUCGGGGUGAGUGUACCUUUCGAAUAAGCACCGGCUAACUACGUGCCAGCAGCCGCGGUAAUACGUAGGGUGCAAGCGUUAUCCGGAAUUAUUGGGCGUAAAGGGCUCGUAGGCGGUUCGUCGCGUCCGGUGUGAAAGUCCAUCGCUUAACGGUGGAUCCGCGCCGGGUACGGGCGGGCUUGAGUGCGGUAGGGGAGACUGGAAUUCCCGGUGUAACGGUGGAAUGUGUAGAUAUCGGGAAGAACACCAAUGGCGAAGGCAGGUCUCUGGGCCGUCACUGACGCUGAGGAGCGAAAGCGUGGGGAGCGAACAGGAUUAGAUACCCUGGUAGUCCACGCCGUAAACGGUGGAUGCUGGAUGUGGGGACCAUUCCACGGUCUCCGUGUCGGAGCCAACGCGUUAAGCAUCCCGCCUGGGGAGUACGGCCGCAAGGCUAAAACUCAAAGAAAUUGACGGGGGCCCGCACAAGCGGCGGAGCAUGCGGAUUAAUUCGAUGCAACGCGAAGAACCUUACCUGGGCUUGACAUGUUCCCGACAGCCCCAGAGAUGGGGCCUCCCUUCGGGGCGGGUUCACAGGUGGUGCAUGGUCGUCGUCAGCUCGUGUCGUGAGAUGUUGGGUUAAGUCCCGCAACGAGCGCAACCCUCGCCCUGUGUUGCCAGCACGUCGUGGUGGGAACUCACGGGGGACCGCCGGGGUCAACUCGGAGGAAGGUGGGGAUGACGUCAGAUCAUCAUGCCCCUUACGUCCAGGGCUUCACGCAUGCUACAAUGGCCGGUACAACGGGAUGCGACCUCGUGAGGGGGAGCGGAUCCCUUAAAACCGGUCUCAGUUCGGAUUGGAGUCUGCAACCCGACUCCAUGAAGGCGGAGUCGCUAGUAAUCGCGGAUCAGCAACGCCGCGGUGAAUGCGUUCCCGGGCCUUGUACACACCGCCCGUCAAGUCAUGAAAGUGGGUAGCACCCGAAGCCGGUGGCCCAACCUUUUUGGGGGGAGCCGUCUAAGGUGAGACUCGUGAUUGGGACUAAGUCGUAACAAGGUAGCCGUACCGGAAGGUGCGGCUG
rnacentral:rRNA from 1 species